rnacentral:rRNA from 1 species
AACGAACGCUGGCGGCAUGCCUAACACAUGCAAGUCGAACGAGACCUUCGGGCCUAGUGGCGCACUGGUGCGUAACGCGUUGGAACCUGCCCUUAGGUUCGGAAUAACUCCCCGAAAGGGGUGCUAAUACCGGCUAAUGUCUCCGGACCAAAGAUUUAUCGCCUUUGGAUGGGCCCGCGUUGGAUUAGCUAGUUGGUAGGGUAAAAGCCUACCAAUGCGACGAUCCAUAGCUGGUCUGAGAGGAUGAUCAGCCACACUGGUACUGAGACACGGCCCAGACUACUACGGGAGGCAGCAGUGGGGAAUAUUGGAAAAUGGGCGAAAGCCUGAACCAGCAAGGACGCGUGAGUGAUGAAGGCCUUAGGGUUGUAAAGCAAUUUUACACGGGAUGAUAAUGACAGUACCGGGAGAAUAAGCACCGGCUAACUCCGUG